rnacentral:antisense_RNA from 1 species
CCACUAUUGAAAUCAAAAAUAUUCAUAUUACCAUUUCCAUUAUUCCCAUUAUGAGGAAAACCCAUAUCCAUCAUGUUCGAAUUUAAAAAGAAAUUCUCCUCUAAUAGUCUAUAGACGAACUGUCGAACUGUACAAGCAACCAAAGAACUCUUUGAUUUCUGGUGAUAAUUACUUCCAUGAUUUUUUGUUAAAUUCUUCUCAAAAUCCCUUCUUAAGAAAUAAUCAUUCAUUUUUAUACCAUUUGUUAAUGGGAAGUGUAACAUCGGAUAAUGAGUUGAAAUAUUUGCUGAAUGAAUCAACAUUCUUAUUGGAAGUCUGCAGAACGAAGCUUCUAAAAGAUUUCUGAAACGUUUCUUGUUAAGUAAUUGUCUAAUUAAAAUCAAAAUAUCGGAAAGUAUUGAAAAGGAUUCAGAAUCACAAUAUGAUUCUAAAAUUGCCAAUAAAAUGGUUGUUGUCAACUCUACACCCCAAACUGAGCUUGUAAAUAAUCUCUCAAUUUGUUGUUUAUUAAUCCUACUUGUAAAUUCUGUUCCUAGUAAAUAUUUUAUUGUAAUUACUACCCACCUUUGAUUUGAAAGUAGUUUUUGUGGUAUAAACCUUUCAUUAAUCUCAUUUUGUUUCAACUCAUCUUUAAU